UUCUGUUCAAGUACACAAAUUAUAAGCCAUUGAAAUACAAAGUGGGUAAAAACAACUAUUACAUCUCCCUUGUUUUUGUAAGUGACCAUUUCAAUGGUCAACAUCAGAUAACAAUACUGGCAGGUCCCUCAUUGGAUCCGACGGCAGAGAGUGAUGCCAUCACCAACAGGAAGCAUGCAAAUUUCAAUCCUGGGGUCAGCAGCAAGUGCCUUGUUGAGCUCCAAAACAAAGUCCCUGUAGUACCUCACAUACUUCCUCAUUGGUGCAUCAGGUGGAGCCACCACAGAUCCAUUCCACAGAGUGUUGUCGUACCCAAUCAGCCCACCAACUUUUACAAGCUCAAUCAACCUCUUGUGAUAAUUUAUAUAAUUGUCCUUGUCAGCAUCCACAAAGAUGAAAUCAAAACUUCCAUGGCACUUCCCCUGCGUUUUCCCAGACAGAAUAGUAAGAUUAGUAAUAGUCAUAUAAUUUAUAUAUCAAGUUAAAAAACGAGCAUCGUUUCUUUUUCUCAUACAAGUAGACAAAAAAGGAUGUUUUUCCCUCUUCCAUUUUCAUUUUUUGUCGAACAUAGAGUAUUUCUUACAUCUUCAAUCAUUUGAUCAAGAACUGGUAGAGCAGGGCCUUCCUUGAAAUCAAUCUUGUGCGCAACACCAGCUUUCUGAAUUACUGGGAGACCCAAUUCGUAGUUUUCUCUGUUGAUGUCCAUAGCCAAGAUCUGCAAGAAACAAAAUCCCAUUUAUUUUUUAUCAUCACAUGAAUUUAUUUAUUUAUUUAUACUUAAUAAAUUUUGAUUUGGGACCGAGACAUUUUAAGUUUUUAGUUUACCUUGCCAUCCUCAGGGAUAGCCAGGGCAGUGGCCAAGAGAGAAUAGCCAGUGUAAACACCGAUCUCCAUGGUGUUUUUGGCAUUGACAAGCUUCAAAAGCAUAUUCAAGAAUUGCCCUUCAUCAGCAGAUGUGGUCAUGAUGUUCCUGUUUCCCAUCAUUCACGUCAAAUUUAUUAACAUCACACCAUAAGCAUUAAUAUCAGACAAAAUCUCUUAUGUUUAUGUAUUUAAAUGUAUGUGAAAAUCAAGAAACAUACCAAGGAUGCUUGGCAGUCACCUCCCUGAGCUCCUUCAUGCAUUCAGGCUCUCUUGGAUACACACUAGUCUCGAGA
rnacentral:lncRNA from 1 species